rnacentral:rRNA from 1 species
GAUCCUGGCUCAGAAUCAACGCUGGCGGCGUGCCUAACACAUGCAAGUCGAACGCGGUUAUCCAGCAAUGGAUAGCUGAGUGGCGAACGGGUGAGUAACACGUGGGUGACCUACCUUCGAGUGGGGGAUAACGUCCCGAAAGGGACGCUAAUACCGCAUAACAUCCCGCCUUUGAACAGGUGGAGAUCAAAGCUGGGGAUCGCAAGACCUGGCGUUUGAAGAGGGGCCCGCGUCCGAUUAGCUAGUUGGUGAGGUAACGGCCCACCAAGGCGACGAUCGGUAACCGGCCUGAGAGGGCGGACGGUCACACUGGGACUGAGACACGGCCCAGACUCCUACGGGAGGCAGCAGUGGGGAAUUGUUCGCAAUGGGCGCAAGCCUGACGACGCAACGCCGCGUGGAGGAUGAAGGUCUUCGGAUUGUAAACUCCUGUUGCCAGGGACGAAAAGCUUCAACCUAAUACGUUGAAGUCUGACGGUACCUGGUGAGGAAGCCCCGGCUAACUCUGUGCCAGCAGCCGCGGUAAUACAGAGGGGGCAAGCGUUGUUCGGAAUUACUGGGCGUAAAGGGCGCGUAGGCGGCCUGUUAAGUCGAACGUGAAAUCCCCGGGCUCAACCCGGGAACUGCGUCCGAUACUGGCAGGCUUGAAUUCGGGAGAGGGAUGUGGAAUUCCAGGUGUAGCGGUGAAAU